GCAAGUCGAGCGAACAGAUAAGGAGCUUGCUCCUUUUGACGUUAGCGGCGGACGGGUGAGUAACACGUGGGUAACCUACCUAUAAGACUGGGAUAACUUCGGGAAACCGGAGCUAAUACCGGAUAAUAUUUCGAACCGCAUGGUUCGAUAGUGAAAGAUGGUUUUGCUAUCACUUAUAGAUGGACCCGCGCCGUAUUAGCUAGUUGGUAAGGUAACGGCUUACCAAGGCGACGAUACGUAGCCGACCUGAGAGGGUGAUCGGCCACACUGGAACUGAGACACGGUCCAGACUCCUACGGGAGGCAGCAGUAGGGAAUCUUCCGCAAUGGGCGAAAGCCUGACGGAGCAACGCCGCGUGAGUGAUGAAGGUCUUCGGAUCGUAAAACUCUGUUAUUAGGGAAGAACAUACGUGUAAGUAACUGUGCACGUCUUGACGGUACCUAAUCAGAAAGCCACGGCUAACUACGUGCCAGCAGCCGCGGUAAUACGUAGGUGGCAAGCGUUAUCCGGAAUUAUUGGGCGUAAAGCGCGCGUAGGCGGUUUUUUAAGUCUGAUGUGAAAGCCCACGGCUCAACCGUGGAGGGUCAUUGGAAACUGGAAAACUUGAGUGCAGAAGAGGAAAGUGGAAUUCCAUGUGUAGCGGUGAAAUGCGCAGAGAUAUGGAGGAACACCAGUGGCGAAGGCGACUUUCUGGUCUGUAACUGACGCUGAUGUGCGAAAGCGUGGGGAUCAAACAGGAUUAGAUACCCUGGUAGUCCACGCCGUAAACGAUGAGUGCUAAGUGUUAGGGGGUUUCCGCCCCUUAGUGCUGCAGCUAACGCAU
rnacentral:rRNA from 1 species